rnacentral:rRNA from 1 species
AUUAAAAACCAAUGCCCCUCGGGGCUCUCUGGCGAAUCAUGAUAACUAGUCGAAUCGACAGGCCUUGUGCCGGCGAUGGCUCAUUCAAAUUUCUUCCCUAUCAACUUUCGAUGUUUGGGUCUUGUCCAAACAUGGUGACAACGGGUAACGGAGGGUUAGGGCUCGACCCCGGAGAAGGAGCCUGAGAAACGGCUACUACAUCCAAGGAAGGCAGCAGGCGCGCAAAUUACCCAAUCCCGACACGGGGAGGUAGUGACAAUAAAUACUGAUACAGGGCUCUUUUGGGUCUUGUAAUCGGAAUGAGUACAAUUUAAAUCCCUUAACGAGGAACAAUUGGAGGGCAAGUCUGGUGCCAGCAGCCGCGGUAAUUCCAGCUCCAAUAGCGUAUAUUAAAGUUGUUGUGGUUAAAAAGCUCGUAGUUGAACCUUGGGCCUGGCUGGCCGGUCCGCCUCACCGCGUGCACUGGUCCGGCCGGGCCUUUCCCUCUGCGGAACCCCAUGCCCUUCACUGGGUGUGG